ACACACACUGCAUUACAUACACACUACACAAACACAGUACACAUACUGCAUUACAUACACACACACUGCAUUACAUACACACUACACAUACACACACACUGCAUUACAUACACACUACACAAACACACACUGCAUUACAUACAUACACACACUACAUAAACACACUGCAUUAUAUACACACUACACACACUGCAUUAUAUACACACUACAUUCAUUAUACACACACUACACAAACACACACCCUGCAUCCACUACACACACACACACACUACACAAACACACACAGUUCCCCUG